GACGAACGCUGGCGGCAUGCCUAAUACAUGCAAGUCGAGCGGAGUUGAUGAGAAGCUUGCUUCUCUGAUACUUAGCGGCGGACGGGUGAGUAACACGUAGGCAACCUGCCCUCAAGCUUGGGACAACUACCGGAAACGGUAGCUAAUACCGAAUACUUGUUUUCUUCGCCUGAAGGAAACUGGAAAGACGGAGCAAUCUGUCACUUGGGGAUGGGCCUGCGGCGCAUUAGCUAGUUGGUGAGGUAACGGCUCACCAAGGCGACGAUGCGUAGCCGACCUGAGAGGGUGAUCGGCCACACUGGGACUGAGACACGGCCCAGACUCCUACGGGAGGCAGCAGUAGGGAAUCUUCCGCAAUGGGCGAAAGCCUGACGGAGCAAUGCCGCGUGAGUGAUGAAGGUUUUCGGAUCGUAAAGCUCUGUUGCCAGGGAAGAACGCUUGGGAGAGUAACUGCUCCCAAGGUGACGGUACCUGAGAAGAAAGCCCCGGCUAACUACGUGCCAGCCGCCGCCGUAA
rnacentral:rRNA from 1 species